AGUGCAAGCACUUCAUCUCCCAGCAUCAGGCCCAGCUCUUCGUGUUGCUUCCGAAGCCGUGGAGCUCCCAUGACAUCUGCCAGGAACUAGGGGCCUGUGCAGCCAAGAAGCCCAUCCCAGGGGGCACAGCCUGCGCUCAAGGCCCUCCGUUUUGGUGUUCCAGUUGGGCCGCUGCCAAACAAUGCCAGGCGGUCCAGUACUGCCAGGCUCAUGUCUGGCUGUAGUCAAAAGAUGAAGAUGUGUCUGCCUUUGGCUGGAGACCUGCUCCUCUGGCCCCAUUUACUUAGACCCUUCCUCCCAACUGACCAAUGGGGCUGGGAAGGACCCCAAGGGACAGAGGCUCUACUACCGGCCAUUAUUAAAGUCACUCCCCAAAAUCAUGAAA